GCCAGUGUGGCGGAAUGGCAGACGCCCUCGACUUAAAAUCGAGUGUCAUUAAUUGACGUGUGGGUUCGAAUCCCAUCACUGGUA
rnacentral:tRNA from 1 species